rnacentral:rRNA from 1 species
GGCUUCCCCUUCGGGGGCAGAGUGACAGGUGGUGCAUGGUUGUCGUCAGCUCGUGUCGUGAGAUGUUGGGUUAAGUCCCGCAACGAGCGCAACCCUUGAUCUUAGUUGCCAGCAUUCAGUUGGGCACUCUAAGGUGACUGCCGGUGACAAACCGGAGGAAGGUGGGGAUGACGUCAAAUCAUCAUGCCCCUUAUGACCUGGGCUACACACGUGCUACAAUGGGCAGAACAAAGGGCAGCGAAGCCGCGAGGCUAAGCCAAUCCCACAAAUCUGUUCUCAGUUCGGAUCGCAGUCUGCAACUCGACUGCGUGGAGCUGGAAUCGCUAGUAAUCGCGGAUCAGCAUGCCGCGGUGAAUACGUUCCCGGGCCUUGUACACACCGCCCGUCACACCACGAGAGUUUGUAACACCCGAAGUCGGUGAGGUAACCUUUUGGAGCCAGCCGCCGAAGGUGGGACAGAUGAUUGGGGUGAAGUCGUAACAAGGUAGCCGUAUCGGAAGGUG